rnacentral:tRNA from 1 species
GCACCGAUGGUCUAGCGGCUAUGAUCGUGGCCUUCCAAGCCACUAACCCGGGUUCGAAUCCCGGUCGGUGCA